rnacentral:rRNA from 1 species
AGUGAACGCUGGCGGUAGGCCUAACACAUGCAAGUCGAACGGCAGCACAGUAAGAGCUUGCUCUUACGGGUGGCGAGUGGCGGACGGGUGAGGAAUACAUCGGAAUCUACUUUUUCGUGGGGGAUAACGUAGGGAAACUUACGCUAAUACCGCAUACGACCUACGGGUGAAAGCAGGGGAUCUUCGGACCUUGCGCGAUUGAAUGAGCCGAUGUCGGAUUAGCUAGUUGGCGGGGUAAAGGCCCACCAAGGCGACGAUCCGUAGCUGGUCUGAGAGGAUGAUCAGCCACACUGGAACUGAGACACGGUCCAGACUCCGACGGGAGGCAGCAGUGGGGAAUAUUGUACAAUGGGCGCAAGCCUGAUCCAGCCAUACCGCGUGGGUGAAGAAGGCCUUCGGGUUGUAAAGCCCUUUUGUUGGGAAAGAAAAGCAGCAGGUUAAUACCCCGCUGUUCUGACGGUACCCAAAGAAUAAGCACCGGCUAACUUCGUG